GACGAACGCUGGCGGCGUGCUUAACACAUGCAAGUCGAACGGAAAGGCCCUGCUUUUGUGGGGUGCUCGAGUGGCGAACGGGUGAGUAAAACGUGAGUAACCUGCCCCUGACUUUGGGAUAACUUCAGGAAACUGGGGCGAAUACCGGAUAGGAGCUCCUGCUGCACGGUGGGGGUUGGAAAGUUUCGGCGGUUGGGGAUGGACUCGCGGGUUAUCAGCUUGUUGGUGGGGUAGUGGCUUUCCAAGGCUUUGACGGGUAGCCGGCCUGAGAGGGUGACCGGCCACAUUGGGACUGAGAUACGGCCCAGACUCCUACGGGAGGCAGCAGUGGGGAAUAUUGCACAAUGGGCGGAAGCCUGAUGCAGCAACGCCGCGUGCGGGAUGACGGCCUUCGGGUUGUAAACCGCUUUCGCCGGUGACGAAGCGUGAGUGACGGUAAUGGGUAAAGAAGCACCGGCUAACUACGUG
rnacentral:rRNA from 1 species